CCAGCAGCCGCGGUAAUACGAAGGGGGCUAGCGUUGUUCGGAUUUACUGGGCGUAAAGCGCGUGUAGGCGGCCUCUUAAGUCUGGUGUGAAAGCCCGGGGCUUACCCCCGGAAGGGCACUGGAAACUGGGUGGCUGGAGUACCGGAGAGGAGGGUGGAAUUCCUGGUGUAGCGGUGAAAUGCGUAGAUAUCAGGAGGAACACCGGUGGUGUAAACGGCUCUCUGGGACGGUACUGACGCUGAGACGCGAAAGCGUGGGGAGCGAACAGGAUUAGAUACCCUGGUA
rnacentral:rRNA from 1 species